rnacentral:rRNA from 1 species
GGACUACCAGGGUAUCUAAUCCCAUUCGCUCCCCUGGCUUUCGUUCCUCAGCGUCAGUUACGGCCCAGCGAGUCGCCUACGCCACUGGUGUUCUUCCCAAUAUCUACGCAUUUCACCGCUACACUGGGAAUUCCACUCGCCUCUACCGCACUCCAGCCUGCCAGUAUCCAAUGCACUCCCGGGGUUGAGCCCCGAUCUUUAACAUCAGACUUAACAGACCGCCUACGAACUCUUUACGCCCAAUAAAUCCGGACAACGCUUGCAUCCUACGUCUUACCGCGGCUGCUGGCAC